AGGAUAAUAGCUCAAUGGUAGAGCACAUGCGCUUAGCAUGCAUGAGGUCCUGGGUUAAACCCUCAGUACCUA
rnacentral:tRNA from 1 species